GGGACCCCAGAAGUCAAACAGCCCAAAGUUGCCAUCAACGCCCUCUUUUCUGCUCUAUUCUGCUGUCCAUAGAGCUUACUUUCUCCUAAAUCAAUUCGUGAGAGGCCUGCAAGACAUAACCAGGACAACAGAUUUUCUUGCUGUUUCUGUGCCCACGAAAAUCCCUCUCCCCGGCCUUCUCGCCAACAGAGUCUCACAGGUGUCUCUAAUUGCCCUCUGUGGGUUCUAGGCUCACCCCUAAAACAAGGACUUGACCACAGGGUUAAAUGCCCUGAUUGGCCUAAAGCUACCAGGACCCAUUCACAGCGCUGGAGAUGCUAUGGGUCAGAUAACCAGUGCCACACAGAAACCCUGAACUGUGAAAAGCAGAUUAGGCUCCCGCAUUCUGAAACACAGCAGACUUGAAACAAGAGCAGCUUCUCAAAUGAAUGAAGCCGGACGAAGUGUUCUCCUUAGGAAGAAAUACUAGAAGAAAUUCUGAGUUCAAGAGGGAGAAUACUAACAGGAACUAGCAAUCACAAGGCUGAAAAACAACCCUAAGUCAUUAGGAUUGGUAGCCUGAAGAUUGGGCUGAGUCCACAAAUGCCCAAGGAAGACAGAAGAAGAGAAAAAUCCAUGUGGGACCAAGAAUAUGAGUUCCAUGAGACUGGGAAAGUAGCAGCUGCAUUCACUGCUGAAUCUUUGGUUCCUGGAAAAAUGCCUGGAGGGACAGGCGUCAGGCCCUG